rnacentral:rRNA from 1 species
UGGGGAAUUUUGGACAAUGGGCGCAAGCCUGAUCCAGCAAUGCCGCGUGUGUGAAGAAGGCCUUCGGGUUGUAAAGCACUUUUGGCAGGAAAGAAACAGUGCGUGCUAAUACCAUGCGCGAAUGACGGUACCUGCAGAAUAAGCACCGGCUAACUACGUGCCAGCAGCCGCGGUAAUACGUAGGGUGCGAGCGUUAAUCGGAAUUACUGGGCGUAAAGCGUGCGCAGGCGGCUUUGUAAGACGGAUGUGAAAGCCCCGGGGCUCAACCUGGGAAGUGCAUUCGUGACUGCAAGGCUAGAGUGUGUCAGAGGGAGGUGGAAUUCCGCGUGUAGCAGUGAAAUGCGUAGAGAUGCGGAGGAACACCGAUGGCGAAGGCAGCCUCCUGGGAUAACACUGACGCUCAGGCACGAAAGCGUGGGGAGCAAACAGGAUUAGAAACCCCGGUAG